rnacentral:precursor_RNA from 1 species
GAAUUAAGCUAUGUACCAACCGAAGUUCAUCUGGAUGGAAAGGAUGUUCCUUUACAAAAAUUGGAGUAAUGGUAUGGGAGUGGGGUCCACUUUUUUGUUAAGGGAAAAACUUUUAGCGGGAUGGAAAGCUAGUACAUAACGUUACUCUUAGUUUAGUUUGGCUUUUGUUACAAUGGUCUUAGUUCAUGGCAUUUGAAUGUCUUGUAUAUAUUAGUUGAGAUAUGCAUGGUGUUCUACCAAGCCGUUUAAUCCCGUCCAACUUGUCUUACGUUGAUAAGUAAAUUUAUUUAUUUUUAUUUUUUAUUAAAAUAAAGUCAAUUGAACGGGUUGGACGACUUGGUAGGACACCGAGCAUAUUUUUGUUAGUUUACAUGUGAUAGUGUUAGGAAUUCCAUCUAAAAUUUAGCAUGUUCUAAUAUAUCUAGAAAGAAAAGUUUUUAGACCAUGCUGAAUUUUGAAUGGAAAUCCUACCAUGAGACAUGAUAUUUUAUGGACUAGCAACUAGGGUUUAAUGACAUUAUUAAAUGUCGUUUUGCUCUUUAUUUGAUUGUAUCUGUUUUAAUGAUGUAUGUGUUGAUUUUAUGUUUAAAAUUUGUUUUUUUAGGUUUAAUGUUUGAUUUAUUGCCUAACAUAUAAAAGAACCUCGUCUUUAAUCAUCUGUGUUGGGUUUUUGGUGUUGUUUCACUUAUGUGAUGGUAUGCUUAUGCAAUAUUUUAGUUUGAACUUUGACAAUUUUAUUCGUGCUUUGGUUGACAAGAGAAUUGUUGCAAACCAGCUGGAGUGGCAUUAAAAAAACAGAGUCCUGUUGGGAAUCAAGAACAAUAAAAGCUGGCUGCCUUGAAGUGAAGAACUAUGAAUUCUAUUGGGAUCUUAUUAUCACCAUUAGUUAGGAUUUGGAUAAUAAGAGUAAUCUUAUGAGAUUUUCAGGAAGUAGGAUUUGUAAGCAAUAUCUUUAUCACUUGUACUCUAUAAAUUUCGAACUAUAUCAAUAAAAGAUACAUCAUUAAGCAACUUUGGUUGGCAAGCUUAGUUGUUUAACUCCAAUUCCAAUGCCAUUGUACUUUAUUGGCUCAUUUUAUACAUACAUAUUCAUCAGUCUUUCACUGAUCUGAUCUUCAUAUGGUCUAAUAGGGUUUUACCAUCAAGUUUGUUGGCAAAAACAAGUCUCACGUAGUCUUCAUGAUUUAUAGUCUUCUACAUAGCUGUUUUCCCCUUUACAGUAUCUGGCACAGGACCAAUCGUCAAACAUGCUUGUGAGCUUCUCAGGUUCUGCCUCAGAUUCCGGGCCACCAAUUUCAGAAGGUUGAUUGCAAGUCUUUUGCAGCUCCGAAGUUGCUCUUUGAGACUGCAUGAUUAACCUGAAAGAAGUGGGAAUGUCAUAUUUCUUUGUUGGACAAGUUGGGAAAUAAGGAAGAGCUUUUCACUCCAGUCAAGUUUUUGAUCUUCAGAUACAACAAAGGCUUGGUCAUAGCCUUCAAUGUUAUUUGGAAGCUAUGCGUAAACCUUAAUUUCCUCUAAUUGCAAGCUUGAAGAACUCCUGUGUGUCAGUCUUCAUCUUCUCAUUCACCUCUUCUGGUAUUCUAUGGUUGAUCAACUAGUUCACCAGCACAAUUUAUGAUUAGUAGACCAAAGUAGGGAGCAUAAGAGCCUGUUUGAGAUUGCAGUUUAAAAAGGCGGAUGGGUCCAACGAAAUCUCAAACAUUUUCGAGUUCUUCUUUAGAGCUAAGUUUACUCACAUCCAUCACUGGAAUUUGGAGAGAAUUAUCAAUGGACAGUUCUUCAUUCUAUAUCUCUUGCCAGAGGUGACGUGGUGGGAUGCCCUUCAAGUUCUUGGAAGCAAGAGCAACAGCUAGCCCAUUUAAUAGCUAACACUCCAUAAUGAGGAGACAAGAAAGGAUAGGGGUCAUUAUGUUUAGCAUAAAACAUGAGCCUUGAUUCAAGGCUUUCUCCGCUUACAUGUGAUACUCGGGCCACUUCUCCAUAUGCAAGCGAACGCCUAGAAGGAAGAAAGCUUGUAGGUAGGGAGGGCCAUCGUCUCUCUUUCUUUCUUCACUUGACCGAAUGGCAAAAGCCAUUUAAUGCAAAGUCAACAAAACUUCAUGAUGAGAGGGCAAGAAAAGAAUGGGGCUGAUCAGACUUUGACUUGACGAUGAGCCCCCACUUUUGACUUGAUAAUACUAGUCACAUGCUCAAUAUACCUGCUUUGAAAAGAGGUAGCUAAAAUAGGGAAUAUAUAUA